rnacentral:lncRNA from 1 species
CAGCCUGAUUAGGGAGAGAUCACCAAGGCUCAGUGUGUUAGGCAGGUUUUUUUUAGUGACCAAAAUACCAGAUAGGAUCAACUUAGAGGAGGGAAAGUUCAUUUUGGCUUAUAAUUUCAGAGGUUCAGUCCACAGCGGGUGACUCCACUGCUCUGGGCCCAAGACGAGGCAGCAGGCGUAUCAUGGCAGAAGCGCAUGGUGGAGAGAAUCUUCCAGGUCAUGCCCCCAGUGACCCAUCUCCUCAAGUCACCAUCCCUCACACACACCCAUAGUUACCACCCAGUCAGGGCAUUCAAACUCGGAGGGACUGAUUAGGUUAUAGCUCUCAUAAUCUAAUUAUUUCACCUCUGAAUAUCCCUGCAUCAAUGCAGGAGCUUUUGGGAGACACUUUAUGUCCAAACCAUAGCACUUGGGGAAUAGCACUACCAAGCAGCUUCCGUCAGGUAUCGCCAGGUAGGGAAGAGUCAUCAAGAUGCCACUUAAAUACCUGUUGGCUCUGGAAAGUCCAGAAGAAAAUCCAGAACCGAAUGAAGCAAUAAAUGACUAGCAGGACCCAAUAAAGCAUGGCACCACCAGGAUGGGGGGUGGGGUGAGCUUCCUGAAGAGAGAUGCUAAUUACGUGACUUGUGACCAGAGUCAGGGACUUGAAGAGGAGGACUCCCCCUCUCCUGCCACGUGGAAGGAAUUGGCAGAGCAACCUCAACACAGUCUCAGCCCCCAGGCUGGGUGCCAAGCAGGGCCACUCCAUUGAACUCUCUGCCAGCCAAGAAUGUAACCCGACAUGCCUCGGGAAGGUAACUCUGACACUGUCUUGGAUAACAAAAUCGUAGAAUCAUGCAUCCAAACGUUAACGAGAAUCAAACACACAAUUUUAACCUUAUUAAACAUGUGCAUUGGGUCUUGUCAGUGUUUGUUGUGUUUAAGAUAAUCCAGCUCAUUAGACUCAUCAGGCCAGCUUUUUACUGAAAUUUUAAAGUUGUAAUUGAGUAAUUAGACUUGAGAUUUUUAACUUGAAAUCUAAGUCUUAUAAAAUAUUGGGACACUAAGAG